ACAAGGAAGUGACGGCUAACUACGUGCCAGCAGCCGCGGUAAAACGUAGGUCACAAGCGUUGUCCGGAAUUACUGGGUGUAAAGGGAGCGCAGGCGGGAAGACAAGUUGGAAGUGAAAUCUAUGGGCUCAACCCAUAAACUGCUUUCAAAACUGUUUUUCUUGAGUAGUGCAGAGGUAGGCGGAAUUCCCGGUGUAGCGGUGGAAUGCGUAGAUAUCGGGAGGAACACCAGUGGCGAAGGCGGCCUACUGGGCACCAACUGACGCUGAGGCUCGAAAGUGUGGGUAGCAAACAGGAUUAGAUACCCUGGUAGUCCACACCGUAAACGAUGAUUACUAGGUGUUGGAGGAUUGACCCCUUCAGUGCCGCAGUUAACACAAUAAGUAAUCCACCUGGGGAGUACGACCGCAAGGUUGAAACUCAAAGGAAUUGACGGGGGCCCGCACAAGCAGUGGAGUAUGUGGUUUAAUUCGACGCAACGCGAAGAACCUUACCAAGUCUUGACAUCCUGCGACGAUGCUGGAAACAGUAUUUUCCUUCGGGACGCAGAGACAGGUGGUGCAUGGUUGUCGUCAGCUCGUGUCGUGAGAUGUUGGGUUAAGUCCCGCAACGAGCGCAACCCUUAUGGUCAGUUACUACGCAAGAGGACUCUGGCCAGACUGCCGUUGACAAAACGGAGGAAGGUGGGGAUGACGUCAAAUCAUCAUGCCCUUUAUGACUUGGGCUACACACGUACUACAAUGGCGUUAAACAAAGAGAAGCAAGACCGCGAGGUGGAGCAAAACUCAGAAACAACGUCCCAGUUCGGACUGCAGGCUGCAACUCGCCUGCACGAAGUCGGAAUUGCUAGUAAUCGUGGAUCAGCAUGCCACGGUGAAUACGUUCCCGGGCCUUGUACACACCGCCCGUCACACCAUGAGAGCCGGGGGGACCCGAAGUCGGUAGUCUAACCGCAAGGAGGACGCCGCCGAAGGUAAAACUGGUGAUUGGGGUGAAGUCGUAACAAGGUAGCCGUAGGAGAACCUGCGGCUG
rnacentral:rRNA from 1 species